AACGAACGCUGGCGGCAUGCCUAACACAUGCAAGUCGAACGAGAUCUUCGGGUCUAGUGGCGCACGGGUGCGUAACGCGUGGGAAUCUGCCCUUUGGUUCGGAAUAACAGUUGGAAACGACUGCUAAUACCGGAUGAUGACGAAAGUCCAAAGAUUUAUCGCCAGAGGAUGAGCCCGCGUAGGAUUAGCUAGUUGGUGUGGUAAAGGCGCACCAAGGCGACGAUCCUUAGCUGGUCUGAGAGGAUGAUCAGCCACACUGGGACUGAGACACGGCCCAGAAUCCUACGGGAGGCAGGAGUGGGGAAUAUUGGAACAUGGGCGAAAGGCUGAUCCAGCAAUGCCGCGGGAGGGAUGAAGGCCUUAGGGUUGUAAAGCUCUUUUACCCGGGAUGAUAAUGACAGUACCGGGAGAAUAAGCUCCGGCUAACUCCGUGCCAGCCGCCGCCGUAA
rnacentral:rRNA from 1 species